rnacentral:rRNA from 1 species
UAUGAAUGAAUUAACUAAGAUUUUAUUAAUUUUUAUUUUGAAUUUAUAGUUUUCGUUGAAAAUACCAAAAUUUUCUUUAAGACUAAAAGACCCUAAAAUUUUUAUAAUUAAAAAUAUUAUUUGGUUGGGGCAAUAAUUUUAUAUAAUAAAAGUAAAUUUUAUUAUUUAAGAACUUUUAAUAAAGAAAUAGUAAAAAUACUCUAGGG